AAAGGCGAACUCAGGCGCAAAACUCACGCUGAAAUAGUCUAAUCCAAUGCUCUUAACACGGUGCGGCCUGGAUCAGUGGGGUUCUCACCAUCAAUUUGCCCUUUCGGAUCAGACACAAAGCCGAGUAUCAGCUCCAGUAAGGCCUUUAAAGUUUACUUGGAAAGGUAAGUCAGAACCCAUUUCACAGACUGGGAAACCUGGUCCAUUUCCUAGGAGGUGGUUGGGGCUACUGUUAGAAUGCUCCCAUAGUGAUGCAUGUGGGUGCAUGUGAGAUUUAAAUGAGAUACCGUGGGCAAACACCUAGCACCGUGAAUUCCCUGGUGAUCCGGCGGUUGGGACUUGCUGCUUUUACUGCUGACAGCGCAGGUUCAGUCCCUGGUCGGGGAACUAAGAUCCUGCAAGCCAUGUGGGGUGGCUAGGGGGACAAUAAAAGCUCCCAUAACAUCAAGGUGGGCUUCCAGGAUGGCUCAGCCUAAAGAAAAAGUGAAAGUGAAGUCGCUCAGUUGUGUCCAACUCUUUGCAACCCCAU
rnacentral:lncRNA from 1 species